CUUCCGCGGGAGUUGCCAUGGUAACAACAACAGCUCCGGGGCCGCGCGCGCGGGUGAAUCAGAUUCCGCGGCGUUCUCACGCGAAACUGUCAAGAAUAAAUCGCCUUUUAGUACUUUUAAAAGAUUAAAACAUUUUAAUUUCGCGGGAAUAAAAGCUUAACGUGAGCUUAAGAUGACGAACAGAUGAGAAGACCGAGGCGACGCGUGUUGCGUUUUAACAAGACGAGCCGUUAAAAAGCGUUUAAAAAACAGCGCUCUUGAACUUUCACUCCACCCGACUGAUAAAAGCUACAAAACUCUCAAGGAAGAAAAGAGAAAAACCUUUUAAAUGUUUGAGAUUGAUUUAAAGAGAAAAUCCCUCCUUUUACAUGUUUGAAUCUAUUGUCUUUUGUGAAGGGAGUCGCUUCUCAGAGCUUUAAUUUAACACUCAAAACACUGGAGGAAUAUUAAUCAGCCAUGGAGUUACUUUCCUGUGAGAUACUUUCUUUUCUCCUUUUUCCUUUUGUUUAAGAAAGUAGUUACACAUGAGAGCAUUUUACAAAAACCCAAGAGUUUUGCACUGAGGCUGCAUUGCAUUCAGUGCGUUACAUUUUCAAUAAUUCAACAGCCCAUCAAUUAUUUCUCACUUAAUGAUCUCUUCUGAUCUUCACACCAAACCGUCUUUGGUUUUGAUAUGUGGAUGACCAAUCAGAACAUGAGUGGCAUUAUUGAUCAGACCAGAGCUGAUCAGACAGAGUUUCUUUGGAGAUCAAGCAGAUCAGGAAGAAAGAUUUGUGACUUGAGCAUCUCUAUUUUGAAAUCUGCAUUCACGUAUGUAUUGUAUUUGUAAGACUUGAUUCCAAUUGCUUUAAGGAAACAGUUUGGCCAAAAAUUUGUUUAAAAUGUCCUCAUGUUUUUUUAUCAGCUGUUUGGACUCUAAUUCUGACGGCACCCAUUCACUGCAGAGCAUCCAAUGGUGAGCAAGUGAUGCAAUGCUAUAUUUCUCCAAAACUGAUGAAGAAACAAACUCAUCCUAAUCUUGGAAUGCCUACAGGAUUCCAGUAUUUUGGUCCGAAGUUUUUCCUGCAUCUGCAGUUUACCGCAUCUGAACAGGAACCAGAUACUUCAUCCCUCUCGGCGCAAACACACACAAGAUCGAUCGACGUGGCGACGCCACAUGCCAUCCUGCGCUGGAAGAGGCGUCUCACACACACUGGAUGAGUGAUUGAUUUCCCCCUCGGCGCUGGCGUACAGUGAGAGGAGCAAAAUACAGAGUCAGAGGUCAGAGGUCACCUGAGCUCUUGUCCGUCUCCCAGUGAGCUUAUUUGUUCUCCGCGUCUUCCUGCAGAGCAUUCUGGGUCACAGAUUACACCGUACAGUCACUAAUGCUGUAAUUCCUGCAUUCAAACACUCAGAACACCUUAGCAACCACAUUGCAACUCCCUGGCAACCACCCACAACACCCUAGCAAGGGCAAAUCAGAAUUAAUUAAUUUCUUCAGAGAAUGUAAAACUCUAAUUAAAAUGUAAUAUAAACUGCAUAAAUUAAACAAAUAUUAAUGAAACCACAGAGUCAUUAAUGAGUGGUGGAUUAAUUGGACGCAGCGGAUGAGAUAUUGACAUGAUGCUCUCCGGUGGGAGACCAACAGCUAUUCAUGAUGAUUGGAGGAUUGUGUGUCCUGUAGGACAAGUUUUCUGCUUGUCUAAAAUACUGAGCGAAUAAAUAAAAUAAAGCCCGACCCUCUGGGUGUUUU
ensembl:lncRNA